rnacentral:misc_RNA from 1 species
UCAAACUUGGUCAUUUAGAGGAAGUAAAAGUCGUAACAAGGUUUCCGUAGGUGAACCUGCGGAAGGAUCAUUAAUGAAAAUCAUUAUGGGGAGAGUUGAUGCUGGCGAAAGCAUUGUGCUCAUUCUCCCUUAAUCCUUUUUUUCAACACCUGUGCACUCUGAGGGGAGCAACGUUUUAGUUAAUGUUUCUUCCCUCAUCCUUAUACAAACUCUUUUGAUAAUUGAAUGUUCUUUAAGCCUUUCGGCUUAUAAUUUAGUAACAACUUUUAACAACGGAUCUCUUGGCUCUCGCAUCGAUGAAGAACGCAGC